CCUACGGGAGGCAGCAGUGGGGAAUAUUGGACAAUGGGGGGAACCCUGAUCCAGCCAUGCCGCGUGUGUGAAGAAGGCCCUCGGGUUGUAAAGCACUUUCAGUGAGGAAGAACGCCUGGUGGUUAAUACCCAUCAGGAAAGACAUCACUCACAGAAGAAGCACCGGCUAACUCCGUGCCAGCAGCCGCGGUAAUACGGAGGGUGCGAGCGUUAAUCGGAAUUACUGGGCGUAAAGCGCGCGUAGGUGGCUUGAUAAGCCGGUUGUGAAAGCCCCGGGCCCAACCUGGGAACGGCAUCCGGAACUGUCAAGCUAGAGUGCAGGAGAGGAAGGUAGAAUUCCCGGUGUAGCGGUGAAAUGCGUAGAGAUCGGGAGGAAUACCAGUGGCGAAGGCGGCCUUCUGGACUGACACUGACACUGAGGUGCGAAAGCGUGGGUAGCAAACAGGAUUAGAUACCCGAGUAGUC
rnacentral:rRNA from 1 species